GAGAAAUUGAAGCAUGAGAGUCUUGAUCAUCAAGUUUGGAGCUUAGUUCCAAAGCCAAGUUUCAUUUCUGGUAUGAGAUACCACAGGAGAGAAACUGAGUCUGAGGGAUGUCAACAUGCCAAGUCCAUGAAAUAUUAGUGGGCUGGAAUUCUAGCUGCUGGAAAAAAGACAUUCCUCACAAAAGACCUCACAAUCAUAUCCAUGGAAUUAUAGCACUGGGCUCUCCAGAUGGUGCUACAGGAAGACCUCCAGAAAUUUGACAAGGCUAGAAAUGACACUUGCAGGCUUUAAGCCUAUACUGUGAAAGACAAAGAAAAUUGGAAAGAGUGUUCUUUAACGGACACUCACAAGAUGGAGCCUCACUCCAUCUCCCAGGCUGGAGUGCAAUGUCCUCCAUUCAAGGCCCUACCACAGAGACACGCAGGAACGGAACUCAGAAUCACAAACAAAGAAACUUCGAUCCAGGAAAGAAAAUGAUCUUAAAAAGACCCUCGUUUCAUGCUGGCCAAUGCUGAGAAAGUCUGCUCUGGAGGAUAUUUGGAGACACUGAUUAACAGAUGGUUGUCCCAGUGGAGGGGGAUUCUUAGUGUUACGUAGAUAGCAAGCACGAUGCAAAAGUGUUGAAGCAGGACUGUAAGUUAUAAUUAAAACACCUGCCCAAGACCCAAGCAAGGAUAGGAUUUCCCAGACAUUCCCAAGGGAGAAAAUGCCAUGUCCUUUCCUUCUGGUGUCACAUCAGAAUCUGAAGGCUGCUAGAGAAGGGAGAGAAACAUACAAGUGAGUCUCAUGCUGAUUGUUGUUGAAAUAUCUGGAAAGAAACUGGCAAAGACUAUCCAAAGGAUGCUAAGACAUGUCCGAACUUACAAAACAGUAGAACCUGAAUAGGAAUUUGAAAUUGUCUAUACUCUCCUCAGCCACACCCUACCAUUUUACAGGUAUGAAAAAUAAUAUUUUCAGCAAAUUGGUGAUAGAUACAAAGUAUCUGAAUUCCCAAACCUGUGUACUUUCCAUUACCAUCUGUUUCCUAAUUGUGUGUGGAUUUCCUUGUUCUCCAGAGCCAAGGGGCAUCAAUAUUUGGUUUCAGAAAUGCUGCUAAAUCCUGAAUAAACAGGAGUGAACAAGCGCGGUAGCAUUCAAGGUCUCUUACUCCUAAACCCAGUUGCAAUACUUGUAUUAAACCCUGGGCUCCA